rnacentral:rRNA from 1 species
GACGAACGCUGGCGGCGUGCCUAAUACAUGCAAGUUGAGCGCUGAAGGUUGGUACUUGUACCAACUGGAUGAGCAGCGAACGGGUGAGUAACGCGUGGGGAAUCUGCCUUUGAGCGGGGGACAACAUUUGGAAACGAAUGCUAAUACCGCAUAAAAACUUUAAACACAAGUUUUAAGUUUGAAAGAUGCAAUUGCAUCACUCAAAGAUGAUCCCGCGAUGUAUUAGCUAGUUGGUGAGGUAAAGGCUCACCAAGGCGAUGAUACAUAGCCGACCUGAGAGGGUGAUCGGCCACAUUGGGACUGAGACACGGCCCAAACUCCUACGGGAGGCAGCAGUAGGGAAUCUUCGGCAAUGGACGAAAGUCUGACCGAGCAACGCCGCGGGAGUGAAGAAGGUUUUCGGAUCGUAAAACUCUGUUGGUAGAGAAGAACGUUGGUGAGAGUGGAAAGCUCAUCAAGUGACGGUAACUACCCAGAAAGGGACGGCUAACUACGUG